UACAGAGGCCUCAAGCGUUGUUCGGAAUUACUGGGCGUAAAGGGAAUGUAGGUGGUGGCGUAAGUCAGAUGUGAAAGCCCUGGGCUUAACCUGGGAAGUGCAUUUGAUACUGCGUCGCUAGAGUGCGGAAGAGGAGAGCGGAAUUCCUGGUGUAGGGGUGAAAUCCGUAGAUAUCAGGAGGAAUACCGAUGGCGAAGGCAGCUCUCUGGUCCGUAACUGACACUGAGAUUCGAAAGCGUGGGUAGCAAACAGG
rnacentral:rRNA from 1 species